GAAAAGAAGCGUUUGUGUCAAUCUGUGUCGCAGAGAAGUGUUGGCACAUCCUUCGGUUAACGACUUUCACACGUAUCUGCAGGCAGCAAAGGAAACGCUCAGGGUUCCUGGAGUUGUCAAGCCUGUGAGCUGUUGAGAUUUGACCCCCCCUGCUCCAACUCCUAGAGGACGCUUUCAUAUGCAAAUGACAAUGCUCUGAGCUUCACAAAUGCAAAUCAGUUUCCCUGAGAGCAGAUAACACCAAUGUGUAAGAGGCACCAACAAACUAUCUGGCUGAGUAAACCAGGCUUAAAAUAAAUAUUAAACCUGAAAUUUUAAAUUGUUCUUAAGUAAGUAAGUGUGCUAUAAUGAAUUAUAUUGUAUACCACGAACAAAGGUCAAUGCAGUCAAAAGAAAUGAAACAAUGCACUUUAUUUCAAAUUUUUAUUGUCAUCCAAAACAAUCCUAAAUCUCAACAACUGUAUAGAGUGGCAUGAUUACAGUCACUUUUUCAAUUGUGCUGGUUAAAUGCACAGAGGAAGUGUAAACCACACCUCUACCAGCAAAUAAAUGAUGCUGGGUAUGAUCAUCUGUGUCCUGUAAGCUCCAAACUUCUACUGGCUUUCCAUAAAAAUAUCUGUCCUCCCAAAAUACUGGCAUCAAAUUCACAUGUCAAUGGCAAACUAAGCUGUUCCAUGAAUUAUAAAUGGUACCUUUUCACCACUACUUUCAAAAUUGCUAUGAAACAUUCAUUGAUUUAAUGAUUUAUUUUUUCAGUGUAAUAUUUAAUCCCCCAUGGACUGCACAGUGACAAAACACAGCAGCCGGCUGUUUGGAUACAACAUACAUCUCCACUCAGUUUGAUUAUUAUUUUAAAUAUAAAGGAGACACAAUAUAGAGCUUAAAUUCCUUCAUAAUUUGAACUUCAAUUGUCUAAUUGUUGUUAUUAAACUUUCUCAGUAUUCCAUUAAAACAGUCAACACUUUUAUCCAAAGCGACUUACAAUAAGUGCAUUCAACUAUAAGGUUACGAACACAGAACAGCAUGAGUGAAUCAUGUGUGUAAAUUUACUAAACACCACAAAAAAUAAACCUGGCCUCAGUCAAAUACUUAUCCCAUGAAGUAACCGCUGCUCACGUCACCCGCUCGCGUCAUCAGCUGAUGGACUCGUCCAAUCAGAGCCUCGUAAACGCCGUGCAGCAGCGUCGAGUGUCCCGCAGACAGGAAGCGGGUCGUGUUUAGCUUGUCCCGUACGAGUGACUCUGUCUUCGGGGUAAAUAACUUGCUGAAGUCGACACGACGCUGUUCCCUGGAGGAGAAGAUGAGUGCGUGUGGAGGCAGAGCCGUGGGCCCGGUGUGGACGAGUCGAGGCGGAGAAGACGGAAGCACAGUCCCUGAGUUACGGUGAGCUAGAGACGCCAUGCUAACCACUAAGCUAACUGGUACAUCUGAAAGCAUGUCCGCCACUCUUUGGGAUAGCGAGAAAGUUGCUAAAAUACGAAUACAGCAUCGAGUGCUGGAGCAGAUCUAGUGCAUGUGUAAAUAUGUAUGAAUUACUUAGAUGUAACAGUUUGUUCUCGUUAAGUUUUUUCAUCAACGUGACUUUUUUCUGUAUGUUUUCACAGCCUCAGCCCCCCCCCCCCACACACACACAAACAAAGAGGCGUUAGGCUGAGACGCUGAAAGUCCGGAUUUAAAGUGCAGAAAAUUAAGCCAUUGAAUCUGCCUGUCCAUGACGUACAAAGACACACUAUGAGCCAGUAUGAUCCGACCAGACCUUACAUCAGCAUUGAGGAGUUGUCGGAGAAGAAAGAAGCUGAUUGAAGCGGGACAGAUGACAUGGAUCCAUCCUUCCACAGCCAGGAGUGCACCGAC